GUGCUCACUUCAGCAACACAUAUACUAAAAUUGGAACGAUAUACAGAAGAUUAGCAUGGCCCCUGCACAAGGACAACAAAUUUGUGAAGCAUUCCAUAUUAAA
ensembl:snRNA U6 U6 spliceosomal RNA